rnacentral:lncRNA from 1 species
CUUGAAAGAUAAAGAUAUGUUGCAAUCUUGACUGCAGAACAUGGGACUAGGGUCAAAGUUUGUACCAAAAAAUCAUUCCUUAUUAUGUUCAGAUCAUUUCGAAGGAAAAUGCUUUCAAUAAGGUACAAAUAAUAGAUGUCUUCGCAUCGGAAGUAUUCCGACAUUAUUUGGAGAAUACAAAUCGGUUUGUGUUUACUGUCACGCAGUGGAAGGACAUGAUGAAAAACGAUCAUUCCGCAAAUUUCCCUUGGACAAUCGAAAAUUGCUGAAGAAAUGGGUAGCUGCAAUGAAGUUGACAGAUUUUCUUCCAACUGGGAAGAGUUGGUUGUGUGGUGAUCAUUUCGAUGAAAAAUGUUUCCGAUCGUCAGGGCGAGGUUUAGUACUUAAAUGCGGUGCCAACUUUGUUUUCAUCUGAAGACAGUGGAGGCACUUCUGUAGUACAGCAAGAGAACACAAGCAAUACAACUGACGAAGUAGAUAAUACUAAUAGUAAUCAAUCAACUCGGCAACACGGUGUAAAGCAUAUUUCAACAGAGUCUUCUGCUCCUCCUUCUAAGAUUCGAAGAACUAGCAGUCCUCGUACUAGCCCAUCAAUUCAUUCGAGGAACGAAGCUGUGAUGGAAUUACAAAGAUGCCCGAAACACCAAGAAGUAUUCCGAAAAGAAUUUUUCAAACGGAGCACGAUCACCAGUAUGAAGUAACUCCAAAGAUGAUGAGAAAAAGAUUUAUCCAACAAUAGCAGAGAAUGCGAAUUUUAAUGAAACAGUCUCACGUACAGAAACAGCAUAUUUCACGUUUGAAGAAGAAAGUCACCUCCUUGAAGAAAAUUAUACUAUAAAAUAACAUUUAUACACAAGCAUUGUCGGAGAACAAGGAUCUAUUGAUACAUCAAGAGACCUAGCAGCAUCGUAAUGCACAAAAUUUUUUGAAGUAUGCGCUACAGUCUUUUAUACAGUAAGCUGGUUGAA